GCCACUGUAGCUCAGGGGUAGAGCGUCAGUCUUGUAAACUGAAGGUCCUGAGUUCGAUUCUCAGUCGUGGCA
rfam:Nosema ceranae BRL01 Nc000001, whole genome shotgun sequence.